rnacentral:rRNA from 1 species
UAGGGAAUCUUCGGCAAUGGGGGGAACCCUGACCGAGCAACGCCGCGUGAGUGAAGAAGGUUUUCGGAUCGUAAAGCUCUGUUGUUAAGGAAGAACGAGUGUGAGAAUGGAAAGUUCAUACUGUGACGGUACUUAACCAGAAAGGGACGGCUAACUACGUGCCAGCAGCCGCGGUAAUACGUAGGUCCCGAGCGUUGUCCGGAUUUAUUGGGCGUAAAGCGAGCGCAGGCGGUUAGAUAAGUCUGAAGUUAAAGGCAGUGGCUCAACCAUUGUAGGCUUUGGAAACUGUUUAACUUGAGUGCAGAAGGGGAGGGUGGAAUUCCAUGUGUAGCGGUGAAAUGCGUGGAUAUAUGGAGGAACACCGGUGGCGAAAGCGGCUCUCUGGUCUGUAACUGACGCUGAGGCUCGAAAGCGUGGGGAGCGAACAGG